UUGUCUGAAUGUUGAUAACCAAUUUACUAUCAUGAUUUGGACACAUCAGUAGAUAAUUAAAUAAAUGUGAAUGUGAUUGCUACUAAAAAUACAGUCUAGACAGAGCUUUAUGCAAACAUGGAUGAUGGCUGCAUAAUCAUGAUUUAUGAUUCUCUUUGUAGGUAUGGUGUGCGUGCUCUUUUAAAAAAUAUCUGUUUUUGCACCAAAGGACUAGGCCUUACGAGCAGAUGGAAGGGCUCCAGGAAAGACAACAUCUGUUGCUUGUAGGCUUUGUUAGAGCAUCUCCAGCCGCGUCCCCCAAAGCGUCCCCCAAAAGGAUUUGGGGGACGCCGGCCAAAAAAACGUCCCAGUCGUAUGCCCCAAAGGCCGCUUCGCUCCGGACGUCCCUCAAAUAUUGUCCGGCGUCCCUAGCCUAUCCCCUGUGUAUAGAGGCUUCAUCGGGGACGCCGGACACGAUUUUUACACUUGCUUUUUGUUUGGAGGUCGCGUUUGGGGGACGUGGCUAGGAAAGAGACCUCCUCCAAACGAAAAUUUCGUCCGGACGUCCUCCAAACGAAAAUUCAGCACUAUUGCCGAACGUCGUUUGGGGGAUGCGACUGAAGAUGCUCUUAGGCAGGCAAGAUGUCAGAUCACGUAUAACAGCGGGGCAUGCACGAAACAUAUGAGUGGGUGCAUAAUCCAGAGGGGCAAUGUGUUCCAUAGGGAUACCAGAGGUUAAGAGAGCUGAUUGAUGAGGAGGUUGGAGCAAGGAAACAGGACGCCUUGAUCCAAGCGAUCUUGGAGAUGAAUGUGCCUCUUGGUGAGGCCAGUCUGAAUGAGGAACACAAAGCAACUAUCCUAGAUGAUAUUAUGGAAGGUGUGGGGGCACAGAAAAAAGAACUGCUGCAGAAACUUGUGGCGUGUUUAUACCCAUCUAGAGCUGAUGGUGAUACACGAGAUGUUCAUGCCGGAUUGGGAUCAUCAGGGCAGAGAGAGGGGCAACGAAUGCUGCAGGUAGCAGCAGGGCUGCUGCAAGGCCAGGAUGUUCGGCUAAUUUGCAGUCAGACAAAAGGAAGCAGCCAAUGGAGGAGGCAGAAGAACAUGUUUGCAUGCGUGGUGAACAUGACGCAGAUGAAGUGAUCCUAGGAUAAGAUGAUUAGUUGAUUACAGCUUCAUUCUACUAGGAUGUUCAAAAAACCAUCAAGCGCUGGUGGCGAUGGCUGCCAAUGCAAACGCAGGGGUUCCGGCUAUGAUCGUCGAUGUUGUCGUGGCCACCGCCGUAGCCAUGGCUCGGGUAGCCCACGUCACCCCGCUCUGCGCCGUGGGUCAAACCCCGAAGUGCCGAUGGGUCUCGUAGAUUGGGAGGGAGAAAUCGGCAGCGAUGGAUCUCAUCGUUCCACGCGAGGGCACCAACCGUGAGUUGAGCAGCCAACCUCCGGGCAGGUUGACGUUCGUCCACGGCACUGGGAGCUCUUCCUCGUACAACUUGCGAUCAUAGCCAAUGGGGACGUAACGUUGGUCCCUCUCCUUCCAGCGGCUUCCGCGCAAUGAGCCCGCCUCGUGGUCGUUGUUCGUCCUCCAAAAUGGCUAGGACUUGCCCAUGGUGGCGCUUGGUCUAUAGUCUGUGGAGGUGAACAUGGGGGAGGUGGCAAUGGCAGGGAUGAAAAUGUGCGCGGUCACUCGCCUCAGAAAGCAUGGGUGCACGCCUCCCCUUCGAUGCCUGACACGGAAGCCCAACGCCGCCCACUAGCAAUAGCGCAUAGAAGCCGAAGUGAGGACCACUAACGCGGCGUGAAGGACACAUCAACGCUGCCCGCCAGUACUUUGCGUGAAGAAGGUGAAGUGGGCACGGAGCACUGAUAGGUGGGCUCACGGAAAAUGACACUAACACGCGCAGUCACUACCAUGUCUGCAGCCGUGUCCGCGGUGACGGAUUCGCAGACUAAAUUUAGGUUUAGGGCAUCUCCAGCGGCGCGACGCAAACGGACGAUCGU